rnacentral:rRNA from 1 species
ACGGAAGGCAGCAGUGGGGAAUAUUGCACAAUGGGGGAAACCCUGAUGCAGCGACGCCGCGUGAGUGAAGAAGUUAUUCGUAAUGUAAAGCUCUAUCAGCAGGGAAGAAAAUGACGGUACCUGACUAAGAAGCCCCGGCUAACUACGUGCCAGCAGCCGCGGUAAUACGUAGGGGGCAAGCGUUAUCCGGAUUUACUGGGUGUAAAGGGAGCGUAGACGGUCUGGCAAGUCUGAUGUGAAAGGCAGGGGCUCGACUCCUGGACUGCAUUGGAAACUGUCAGUCUUGAGUGUCGGAGAGGUAAGCGGAAUUCCUAGUGUAGCGGUGAAAUGCGUAGAUAUUAGGAGGAACACCAGUGGCGAAGGCGGCUUACUGGACGAUAACUGACGUUGAGGCUCGAAAGCGUGGGGAGCAAACAGGAUUAGAUACCCUGGUA